CAGGGUGGGGGUCUGAGAAGUCAGUGUUCUUGGAGCACCUCCACCAUAGCUUGGGCUCUGGUCCUCCUCAACCUCCUCACUCAGGACAUAGGUGA
rnacentral:pre_miRNA from 1 species